UACGGAGGGUGCAAGCGUUAUCCGGAUUCACUGGGUUUAAAGGGUGCGUAGGAGGGCAGGUAAGUCCGUGGUGAAAUCUCUGAGCUUAACUCAGAAACUGCCGUGGAUACUAUCUGUCUUGAAUCCCGUGGAGAUGAGCGGAAUAUGUCAUGUAGCGGUGAAAUGCUUAGAUAUGACAUAGAACACCAAUUGCGAAGGCAGCUCACUACACGAGCAUUGACUCUGAGGCACGAAAGCGUGGGGAUCAAACAGG
rnacentral:rRNA from 1 species